CGUAAACGUGAAAUAAAGUCCAUACACAGAUAAUCCCAAUAAAGUGGCAAUAGUCCAACACGGCUUGGUAAAUUCAAUGAACAAUACUUCGCGUUGUGGCGUCGCGAACACGCUGCUUAAGAAGGCUAAAAAUCCGGAAUUGUUUAUCACUCAGCAGAAAGAUCUCCAUCAAGUACAGAGAGAGGACGGUUCUCUGGGCGAAAUGAGAAUACAGGUCAUUUUUGGAGUCCUGUUGAUUUACACCCAAGUUGCCAUGGGUUCACUGUUUCAGGAUCAUGUGGUCUGUAGAUUUAAUAAGAGUAAUCAGUGUUAUGUAGCUGUGGGACAAAAACUGCACCUGCAAAUGCCCUGGGAGGAUGGGUUUGAACUAAAGACAUCUAGUUUAAUUUUAAAGCAUAGAAAUACUCAAAGUUCCCCACCAACACCACUUCUCCCAAGAUGGCAGUUUGUUAAUGAUAAUAAAACUAUGAUACUAACCAGUGCAGAGAGGAGCGACUCUGGAACAUACACUUUAGACAUCUUUGAUGUAGACGGGAGAAGUAAAGGCAGUUCUACUCUCCAGGUGAACAUUGAAGGUAGGACCACACAACCUCUAAUCACAUCACACAGCACACUACAAUUUAAUUUAAAAAUAUAUAAAAUAUAAAUUUUGUUUGUAAGAUAUAAAAUUUGUCUUUGUAAGAUUCCCUAUUAUAUUUUAAUUUUUUAUUCAUGCAAAUGAGGCCCCAUCUAAUUAAAAAUGCAAACAUGUACACACUUAAUUUCACAAAAUAAAUCUACGGUUUUUGAUUUUACAAUUUAAAUCUUUGUUAGACAGUGAAGAAGCUCCCAAGAGAUAGUCAUUGUUCCUCUUUCUCUUCCUCUUUUAAGUUUAUGUUGCUGUGUUUAAUUUAUUUUGAGGUUUUUAUCUCUAAUCUGCAGCUCAGGUGUCCUCAGUAAAAGUGUCAUACAGCUGCUUGUCCCCUGGAGUUGUGAAAGUCAACUGUGCUGCUGAUGGAGACAACCUCCGCUUCAGCUGGUAUUCUGAUUUUAUCGCGCUCCCUCAACUGGAGAAUGGGACCAGCACUGUCAUACUGGAACAAGACCCACAAGGAAAAGUCACCUGCCAUGUAGAAAAUCACUUCAGCCGUGACCAGUAUACUGUUCAACUUUACCGAUGUUCUGGUUUGCUGCUUCAGGAUCAUGUUUUCUGUCGAUUUACUCAGAGGAAUCAGUGUUAUGUAGCUGUGGGACAACAUCUGCAACUGCAAAUGCCCUGGGAAGAUGGGUUUGACCUAAAGACCACUAGUUUAAUUUUAAAAUAUAGAAAAAAUCAAAGUUCCCCUCCAACACCACAUCUCACAAGAUGGCAGUUUGUUAAUGAUAAUAAAACUAUGAUACUAACCAGUGCAGAGAGGAGCGACUCUGGAACAUACACUUUAAACAUCUCUGAUGUAGACGGGAGAAAUAAAGGCAGUUCUACUC